rnacentral:rRNA from 1 species
UACGUAGGGUGCAAGCGUUGUUCGGAAUUACUGGGCGUAAAGCGCACGUAGGCGGCUUUGUAAGUUAGAGGUGAAAGCCCAGGGCUCAACCCUGGAAUUGCCUUUAAGACUGCAUCGCUAGAAUUGUGGAGAGGUAAGUGGAAUUCCGAGUGUAGAGGUGAAAUUCGUAGAUAUUCGGAAGAACACCAGUGGCGAAGGCGACUUACUGGACACAUAUUGACGCUGAGGUGCGAAAGCGUGGGGAGCAAACAGG